rnacentral:rRNA from 1 species
CAAUUGUAUCCCAAGUAGCAUGGAGCACGUGAAAUUCCGUGUGAAUCUGCGAGGACCACCUCGUAAGGCUAAAUAUUACUGAAUGACCGAUAGUGAAACAGUACCGUGAGGGAAAGGUGAAAAGAACCCCGGGAGGGGAGUGAAAAGAACAUGAAAUCAUAAACUUACAAACAGUAGGAGGACGACUGAAACGUCUGACUGCGUGCCUGUUGAAGAAUGAGCCGGCGACUUAUAGUUAGUGGCAGGUUAAGGUAGUGAAUACUGGAGCCACAGUGAAAGCGAGCCUGAAUAGGGCGUUUGUCACUAGUUAUAGACCCGAACCCGGAUGAUCUAACCAUGGUCAGGUUGAAGCUCAGGUAAUACUGAGUGGAGGACCGAACCGACUGAUGUUGAAAAAUCAGCGGAUGAAUUGUGGUUAGGGGUGAAAUGCCAAUCGAAUUCGGAGCUAGCUGGUUCUCCCCGAAAUGCGUUUUGGCGCAGCGGUAAAUGUUAUAAUUUAGGGGUAAAGCACUGUUACGUAUGCGGGCUGGUAAUUCGGUACCAAAUCGUUGCAAACUAAGAAUACUAAAUGUAUAGUUUACCAGUAAGACUGUGGGGGAUAAGCUCCAUUGUCAAGAGGGAAACAGCCCAGAGCACCAGUUAAGGCCCUUAAAUAAUUACUAAGUGGUAAAGGAGGUGGGAUUACAUAAACAAUCAGGAGGUUUGCUUAGAAGCAGCAAUCCUUUAAAGAGUGCGUAAUAGCUCACUGAUCGAGUAAACCUGCGCCGAAAAUGUAUGGGACUAAGUAAUUUGCCGAAACUGUGCGAUAUAUAUUUAUAUAUCGGUAGGGGAGCGUUCUGUUGUAGAUUGAAGUAUUAGCGGAAGCGGAUAUGGACGAAGCAGAAGUGAGAAUGUCGGCUUGAGUAACGAAAAUAUAGGUGAGAAUCCUAUACCCCGAAAACCUAAGGUUUCCUCCGGAAGGCUCGUCCGCGGAGGGUAAGUCAGGACCUAAGAUAAGGCUGAAAAGCGUAGUCGAUGGAUAACGGGUUAAUAUUCCCGUACUAUUUUUUAUUGAUAUCGAGGGACGGAGAAGGCUAAGCUAGCCGGAUAUUGGUUUUACCGGUUUAAACGUUCGAGAUGUUGAUAAACAGAGAAAAUGUUUUGAGUUGAGACGUGAAUACGAGACGCUACGGCGUUGAAGUAGUGUAUGUCAUACUUCCAAGAAAAGCUUGCACUGUCAUAAAUAAAAAAUACCUGUACCAUAACCGACACAGGUGGGUAGGUAGAGUAUACUAAGGGGCGCGAGAUAACUCUCUCUAAGGAACUCGGCAAAAUGACUCCGUAACUUCGGGAGAAGGAGUACCUUAUUCGUAAGGUUGCAAUAACAAGAUCCAAGCAACUGUUUAUCAAAAACACAGGUCUCCGCUAAGUCGUAAGACGAUAUAUGGGGGCUGACGCCUGCCCAGUGCCAGAAGGUUAAAGAAGUUGGUUAGUAAUUACGAAGCUGAUAACUGAAGCCCUGGUGAACGGCGGCCGUAACUAUAACGGUCCUAAGGUAGCGAAAUUCCUUGUCGGGUAAGUUCCGACCCGCACGAAAGGCGUAAUGAUUUGGAUACUGUCUCGGAGAGAGGCUCGGUGAAAUAGACUUGUCUGUGAAGAUGCGGACUACCUGCACCAGGACAGAAAGACCCUAUGAAGCUUUACUGUAACUUGAAAUUGAAAUCGGACUUUAUUCGCGCAGAAUAGGUGGGAGGUGUUGAUUAUAAUCUUGUGGGGUUAUUGGAGCCAUCAGUGAGAUACCACUCUUGUAAUGUUAGAUUUCUAACUUUGUAUCAUUAUCUGGUCAAAGAACAGUUUCAGGCGGGCAGUUUGACUGGGGCGGUCGCCUCCCAAAUGGUAACGGAGGCGUACAAAGGUUUCCUCUGAACGGUUAGAAAUCGUAUCUAGAG